UACGUAGGGGGCAAGCGUUGUCCGGAUUAUUGGCGUAAAGAGCGUGUAAGGCGGUUAGGUAGGUCCGUUGUGAAAACUCGAGGCUCAACCUCGAAGACCGGCCGAUUGGAAACCAUCGUGACUAGAGUCCGGAAGAGGAGAGUGGAAUUCCGUGGUGGUAAGCGGUGAAAUGCGCAGAUAAUCAGGAAGAACACCCGUGGCUAAGGCGGG
rnacentral:rRNA from 1 species